UAGUGACUAAGGAGGAAGCUCGCUAGGUGAACCUGUGCACCAGAAGAAGAGAGCCUUUGAAGACAACCUUGAGGUUUGUCAUACGUCACAUUCCUGGGUGCUACAAGGGAAGAUCUGAGGGAACCACAAUUAUAAUCUCUGCUCCUUUUACAAAAAUGGCUGCGGUAUAAAGAUGGACAAUAACAAAUGUUGUGGAAGAACCCUGAAGUACAGGCCCUGAGCAGGCCAACACCACAGGUCCUGGACCAAUGCUGAAGCUACAAAGAUGGACCGGAAGUGGACCUGCACCAGGCCUGGUAACAUUGUAAUCCCAACACUCUGGGAGGCUGAGGCAGGACAAUCACAAGUUUGAACC